rnacentral:SRP_RNA from 1 species
CUGUGCUACACGGGGAGGUAGCGGUGCCCUGUUACUUGCAAUCCGCUAAAGCAAGGUGGAAUUCCCUGCCCUAGGCUUACAUUGUGAGGUUUGCCUUCGGCAAGUGGUGUUGAUAACUCGGUCUUGCGCAACAAAAACCUAUGAACCCUGUCAGGUCCGGAAGGAAGCAGCAGUAAGUAGACCCUUUUGUGUGACGCGAGGGUGCCGGGUUUGAGCUAACUGCCGGAGUAACGCUUGUUAUGUAUUGUCAAAGGAGGGUGCACAG